rnacentral:rRNA from 1 species
GACGAACGCUGGCGGCGUGCUUAACACAUGCAAGUCGAACGGAAAGGCCCUGCUUUUGUGGGGUGCUCGAGUGGCGAAAGGGUGAGUAACACGUGAGUAACCUGCCCUUGACUUUGGGAUAACUUCAGGAAACUGGGGCUAAUACCGGAUAGGAGCUCCUGCUGCAUGGUGGGGGUUGGAAAGUUUCGGCGGUUGGGGAUGGACUCGCGGCUUAUCAGCGUGUUGGUGGGGUAGUGGCUUACCAAGGCUUUGACGGGUAGCCGGCCUGAGAGGGUGACCGGCCACAUUGGGACUGAGAUACGGCCCAGACUCCUACGGGAGGCAGCAGUGGGGAAUAUUGCACAAUGGGCGGAAGCCUGAUGCAGCAACGCCGCGUGCGGGAUGACGGCCUUCGGGUUGUAAACCGCUUUCGCCUGUGACGAAGCGUGAGUGACGGUAAUGGGUAAAGAAGCACCGGCUAACUACGUG